GACGAACGCUGGCGGCGUGCCUAAUACAUGCAAGUAGAACGCUGAAGAGAGGAGCUUGCUCUUCUUGGAUGAGUUGCGAACGGGUGAGUAACGCGUAGGUAACCUGCCUUGUAGCGGGGGAUAACUAUUGGAAACGAUAGCUAAUACCGCAUAACAAUGGAUGACACAUGUCAUUUAUGUGAAAGGGGCAAUUGCUCCACUACAAGAUGGACCUGCGUUGUAUUAGCUAGUAGGUGAGGGAAUGGCUCACCUAGGCGACGAUACAUAACCGACCUGAGAGGGUGAUCGGCCAAACUGGGAAUGAGACACGGCCCAGAAUCCUACGGGAGGCAGCAGUAGGGAAUCUUCGGGAAUGGGGGCAACCCUGACCGAGCAACGCCGCGUGAGUGAAGAAGGUUUUCGGAUCGUAAAGCUCUGUUGUAAGUCAAGAACGGGUGUGAGAGUGGAAAGUUCACACUGUGACGGUAGCUUACCAGAAAGGGACGGCUAACUACGUG
rnacentral:rRNA from 1 species